GGGGAAACGACAUCGAAAGCUUGCUUUUGAUGGGCGUCGACCGGCGCACGGGUGAGUAACGCGUAUCCACCUGCCCACCACUUGGGGAUAACCUUGCGAAAGUAAGACUAAUACCCAAUGAUAUCUCUAGAAGACAUCUGAAAGAGAUUAAAGAUUUAUCGGUGAUGGAUGGGGAUGCGUCUGAUUAGCUUGUUGGCGGGGUAACGGCCCACCAAGGCGACGAUCAGUAGGGGUUCUGAGAGGAAGGUCCCCCACAUUGGAACUGAGACACGGUCCAAACUCCUACGGGAGGCAGCAGUGAGGAAUAUUGGUCAAUGGGCGAGAGCCUGAACCAGCCAAGUAGCGUGCAGGAUGACGGCCCUAUGGGUUGUAAACUGCUUUUAUAAGGGAAUAAAGUGAGUCUCGUGAGACUUUUUGCAUGUACCUUAUGAAUAAGGACCGGCUAAUUCCGUGCCAGCAGCCGCGGUAAUACGGAAGGUCCGGGCGUUAUCCGGAUUUAUUGGGUUUAAAGGGAGCGUAGGCCGGAGAUUAAGCGUGUUGUGAAAUGUAGACGCUCAACGUCUGCACUGCAGCGCGAACUGGUUUCCUUGAGUACGCACAAAGUGGGCGGAAUUCGUGGUGUAGCGGUGAAAUGCUUAGAUAUCACGAAGAACUCCGAUUG
rnacentral:rRNA from 1 species